UACGGAGGGUGCAAGCGUUAAUCGGAAUUACUGGGCGUAAAGCGCACGCAGGCGGUUUGUCAAGUGGGAUGUGAAAUCCCCGGGCUCAACCUGGGAAUUGCAUUCGAGACUGGCAGACUGGAGUAUUGUAGAGGGGGGUAGAAUUCCAUGUGUAGCGGUGAAAUGCGUAGAGAUGUGGAGGAAUACCGGUGGCGAAGGCGGCCCCCUGGGCGAGGACUGACGCUCAGGUGCGAAAGCGUGGGGAGCAAACAGG
rnacentral:rRNA from 1 species